GUGGGGAAUCUUAGACAAUGGGCGCAAGCCUGAUCUAGCCAUGCCGCGUGAGCGAUGAAGGCCUUAGGGUUGUAAAGCUCUUUCAGCUGGGACGAUAAUGACGGUACCAGCAGAAGAAGCCCCGGCUAACUCCGUGCCAGCAGCCGCGGUAAUACGGAGGGGGCUAGCGUUGUUCGGAAUUACUGGGCGUAAAGCGCACGUAGGCGGAUCAGAAAGUCAGAGGUGAAAUCCCAGGGCUCAACCUUGGAACUGCCUUUGAAACUCCUGAUCUUGAGGUCGAGAGAGGUGAGUGGAAUUCCGAGUGUAGAGGUGAAAUUCGUAGAUAUUCGGAGGAACACCAGUGGCGAAGGCGGCUCACUGGCUCGAUACUGACGCUGAGGUGCGAAAGCGUGGGGAGCAAACAGGAUUAGAUACCCGAGUAGUCC
rnacentral:rRNA from 1 species